UUAUUGGAAUUUCUAGGACUUUUCUGUGGAUUGUGGAAAUAACAAAAAAAAAAAAAAAAAAGAAUUAUGAAACUGGGACUGUGCUGGCAAAUCUAGGCUUUGAAUCCCAGCACUUCGGGAGACAGAGGUGGGUGGAUCACCUGAGGUCAGGAGUUUGAGACAAGCCUGGCCAGCAUAGUGAAACCCCAUGUCUACUAAAAAUACAAAAAAUUAGCUAGGCAAGGUGGCAGGCACCUGUAAUCCCAGCUACUCAGGAGGCUAAGGCAGAGAAUGGCUUGAACCUGGGAGGCAGAGGUUGCCGUGAGCUGAGAUCACGCCAGUGCACUCCAGCCUGGGCAACAAGAACAAAACUCUGCCUUAAAAAAAAAAAAAAGAAACAGAAGAAGAUAGAGAGGAUGUUAAGAAGCAGGGAAGAUCCAUAUUCACGCAUUCACAGUGAUGUUAUUGACAAUAGACAGACAGUGGACGCAGCUCAAGCACCCAUCGAUAGAUGAAUGGAUUAACAAAAUGUAGCAUAUAUACACAAUGGAAUAUUAUGCAGCCAUCAGAAGGAAGGAAAUUCUGACACAUGUCCCGACGUGAUGAACCUGAGGACAUUAUGCCAAAGGAAAUAAGCUAGCCACAAAAAGACAAAUACUGUAUGAUUCCAUUUACAUGAGGUAUCUAAAAUAGUCAAACUCAUGGAAACAGAGAGAAGAGAGAGCAGAACAGUGGUUGCCAGGAACCGGGGGAAGGAAGACUCGGAAGCUGUUGUCGAAUGGGUCCAGAGUUAAGAAGUUCUGGAGACAUCACGAUGAUGGUUGCACAACGAUCUGUAACUGAUGUUUACUUUAAUCAUAAUGUAAACAAGUUAAACAUAAAUAGGUAAGUAGAAAGAAUUACCCCACUCCCAGAGAAGCAGGGGAGAAGUGGGGGAGCAAGUCCUCCUGGAUGGCAGGACUGUCCCUGAUUGCCCCAACAAGGAUGGUUUUGGGAAAAUGGAAAGAACACUUUCUGGCUGGGCACAGUGGCUCAUGCCUGUAAUCCUAGCACUUUGGAGGGCGGAGGUGGGUGGAUCACCUGAAGUCAGGAGUUCGAGACCAGCCUGGGCCAACACAGUGAAACCCCAUCUCUAUUAAAAAUACAAAAAUUAGCUGGGUGUGAUGGUGGGCACCUGUAAUCCCAGCUACUUGGGAGGCUGAGGCAGGAGAAUCGCUUGAACCCAGGAGGCGGAGGUUUCAGUGAGCAGAGAUUGCACCACUGCACUCCAGCCUGGGUGACAGAGUGAAACUCUAUCUCAAAAAAUAGAGUGCUUUCUACCCAGAGCACAGAGUGAAGGUGGAAAGGGGAGAUACGGAAAUGGAAGUGGAGGAGGGAGAGGGAGUGAGCCCAAGUGCCCAGGUGUGUGCCCACUGCUAUGGCUGAGGUUUGGAGAAUACGUUGGACUUACUCAUUCAUUUGUUCAUGAGGUACAGUGCUUCAGCACCAGUGGGACCACAGCAUACACACAGCACCUUUGUGUGAAUCAGAGAACAAACACCGCGUCUUUCCCUGGAAGAUACAGCCUCCUGGGUGUGGGGCUUAGCGAGCAGACAGUAUCUCUGUGGGGUGAGGGAGUUCAACCCCACCUGGUCACUUGGCUGAGAGCCUCUAUAUUAUAAGCAACUUACACAGAUGCACGUGUCAGCCCUGUGCACCAGGCACUGUUCUCUGUGGAGUUUUCUUAGCUGUAGAAGACCAGCCUGUGCCCUGAACCAUCUAAGUUGCAAGUGUUGAAGGAACUGAGGGAAGAGAGAGGAGGCAGUCUCUUGGGCAGCAUGACCCUCACCCUCGUACUCUUUGCUUCUGUGGGACUCUAAGGCCAGGAAGCAGGGAUGCAAAAGACAGCAGGAAGGAUUGGGAUUGGGUGAUGGCAUUGCAAACCCAAUGGCAGGUCAAGGACACGGGGGUGUAGGGAGGGGCUGAAGGGGCUGAAGCCACACCACGUGUGAGGUGUGCAGGGAGUCUGCUUGAUGCCUGGAGGAAUUGGCUGGUUGCCUUAAGCAGGCGAAACCUCUCUGUACUAAGCCUGGUACACAGGAUAACCGGUCAACUUCAACUCCUCGGAAUUAUCCCUGGGGCAGAAAGCCUGCAACCAAUUUUAACCAGAGGCCGGCAGGCCUGGCUGCAUCUGACGCAUUCUGCCUUCCCCACUGUCAGCACAAGAUAAUGAUCUCUGGGCUCUCUGUGACAUGGGGCAACAGACUUUCGAGUCAGGGAAGUCAGUGUUCAGAUUCCAACUCUACAAUGUAUAAGCUAAGUGACUCUGGAUGAGUCUCAAGUUUCCCUAUCUGUAAAAUGGAUUCAAUUAUACCAUCCCCCUAGGAGUUGAUAAAGAUGGAAUGUGUUGAUAUACAUAAAACACUCAGCACAAUGCCACAAUGCCUGUGCAAACAACGAAUGUUCAGGGAUGUGAUUUCACACACACACACACACACACACACAUGCACAAGUACACAGGCGCACACAACCACUUGGUUGGAAUGUCCAUAGCAGUGAGGUUUGACACCUGGCGUGUCAGUGGGGCUGGCACAGGUGAUGGGCGACUUCUCUCUGCAGCACAGAGACACUUGUUCUGUCCCUUGCUCGGAGGCCCCUGGUCUCUCCUCUCUUCCUCUCCCAGCCAGCAGGCUUAGAGACAGACUUCCUCCGCUGACCAUGGCCGCCUCACAGAGCAUGCCGAACACCAGACACAGCCCUUCUCGGGUACUCAUGGUGACAUAUGAGGUGGUAUGCUGCCCGGCACUGCAAUGCAGCGAGGUACACAGUGGGGAGCUGAGUAGCCCUGGGGUGAAUUGGGGUACACUGUGGGGAGCUGAGGUACCCUGGGAUGAAAGGGGUACAGUGUGGGAAGCCAAGAUACCCCAUGAUGAAGCAGGGCAUGGGGGGGAGCUGAGGGACCCCAUGAUGAAGUGGGGCACACUGUGGCAGGUGAGUACCGGGAUGGAGUGGAGUACAGUGGUAAACUGAGGCUCACUGGUGAGGGCAAAUUCUCUAGAGAGCAGCAGUGCUACCUUCUGCUUCAUAACGCUGCCUUCACUCCCUCCUGCUACCCCACUGUCCAGUUAGACAUCUGCUGCUCAGGAUCCCUUCCCUAGAAAUGGACCCAAAAUACCUCUCCUACAGACCCUACUCUGAGGCCAGCCAGUGGCUUCUCACCUGGGCUCCUCGCUCCCAGCCCCACGUGCUGCUGGGUGAGAGCCCCCUUUGUGCAGAGCCCUCUUACCAUGUGUUGGAUGGAUGUGUCCACUAAGGAUGAGAUGGAUGGAGUACAGGAGUCCAUUUCACACACAUUUCCUGAGGCCUCCCAGGUGUCAAGCAUAUGGUGGCCUCUGGGGAUCAGACGGGAAUACAAACUACUCCCUGUUCUCCAGGAGCUCAUAGACCCGUGCCUUCACCUGGGCUAAGGGUAUGACCCACACACUUAUUCAGGGCAGGAGACAGGCCACCAUCUCUGCCUUGGCAAGCCUGGGAAGGCUCUACAAGCUUGGUAAUCUCUGAAGUGGGCUUUGGAGGAGGCGCAGGAGUGGAGGACCAUGGAACAGGCAUUUUAGGCGGGCUCUCAGCGGCUUCAGGAGUUUCUGACUUGUGGGAGAUCCGUCCUCCCACCUUAGAAGUUCUCCAAGGACCCACAGUGCCAUGUGGAUUUCUGGAAACCCAGCAAGAUCUAGGCAGGGUGACAAGAGUGGUAUCGGAGCUGCAGUUGUGUAUUUAGAGAGAAGGGAGAGUGAGGAUGGUCAGAUAAUCUGGCUAUACCUAUCUCCUGCAGUCAUAGUCCAUCCUUUCCAAUCAAAGAGAGGGAGAGAGUUUUUCUCCCUCAGGCAUAGGAAGGGAGGACCUGGCUGGGCCGGGCUGGACCAGCCUGGCCCUGGGGGGACUUGCUGGCUGGCUGUUGGGCUGGAGGAUGCUGGUUAUUUGACUGCAAAGUAUAUUUCAAGGUCUCAGUUACAAUGGGCCCCAGGCGCUCUGUAACAAGCAGCCGCUGUCCCGCUGCUCAUCAGCUUUCCCGACAUCUCGGGGCUAGUCCUGGGAGAGCAGCCCCCAAGCUCCUCCCUGUGGGCCGAGGACCUGAAAAGCUGACUUCUUGCCCCCAGCCUCGGAGCUGCCAUGAUGAAUGGCGCUGCUGCCCCUUGCAGACAAACAUCAUCCAGGAACAAGCCCCGUUUGUUUAAAUCAAAUGAUCACCAUCUACUCUGGCAAAAGCCCCUCUCUGGACUCAAGACCCAGGCCUGCCUCCCCCACCACCCGCCUGUCCCUCUGCCUCCUGACAUUAGGAAAGGACACGUCAAGGGGUCAGGAACAGUGCUAGGCACUGUCCUCAGAAUGGGGACAGAGCAGGGCCUCCAGGGACGGCAAGGCCUGGUCAUCUUGGGAGGUGAGGUGAGAAAGGACCAAGCCUUCGUGAAGACGUGGAGAAGCAGCCAGCAUCAUGGGAAGGCAGGGCCUCAGCUGCGCUGCGUCUGUGCUCUGUGCUUUGCACUUUCUACGUGUGUUUGUACUCAAGUUACACCUCUCCGGCUUCAGAUCCCUCAAGCAUAGAAGCGUUUGUUAGGUCCACAGCUCUCAACCCUAGCUGCAUAUUGGGGUCACCAGAGGAAUUACUGAUCCAGUUGGGUUCCAGGCACUGCCAUUGCUUCCCCUAGGGCCCUCAAGCAAUUCCAAUGUGCAACCAUUGGUUUGAGUAGCUCCCAAGGUCGCUCUGACUUCAUGGCUUAUCAGGUCUUCUUUGAAAGUUUCUGGCUGCUUAGGAAACACCUCCAGGAAGCCAUCAAUUUGCAGACUGUGGGCCCCAGGAAGUCCCUGUACUAGGAGUUCUUCCUAAACAAACCCACCUGGACUGGAGCAGGAAGGGACCCCUGAGCCCACCUGUUCUAACUUGGUUUCAGAGAUGGCAAAACUGGGGAGUACCCUUCCUCUGCUUGGGCAGACCCCCAGCUCAGAUGGGAAGUGCUUAGUAAAGGUAAAGCACCAACACUGGGAAAUUACUACAGAUGGAGUCAUUGAGGAUGGCGAUUGGGGCACUGGAAUUGUAGCUACUAUCUGUCUCCCCAGCCAGACUCAAAUUCUUAAUUCCUCAAAAUACUGCCCAACAUGCAACCUGCCACCCUUUGUUGAACUUCCACGUGGGCAGACACUGUGCUUGGCUGAGGAUACAGAGGUAAAAGAGAAAGACUCUGCCCUGAGAGAACAUAUGGUCAAGGAGUAGAAGCUGUUGAGAAAAGAGCCGAGGGCUGGUGAGCCACAGAGGAGAACGUGCCAGACGGGUAAGGACUGCAGGGGUGGCUUCAUAGAGGGGCGAGAUUUAAGCUCAGUGGGAGUUUUUCAGGGUGGCUUCUGGGAAUCUAAAUUUCUUUCUUUCUUUCUUUUUUUAGAUAGAGUCUCACUCUGUUGCUCAGGCUGGAGUGGUGCAAUCUCAGCUCACUGCAACCUCUGUCCCCUGGGUUCAAGCGUUUCUCCUGCCUCAACCUCCCGAGUAGCUGGGAUUACAAGCAUGUACUACCACACCUGGCUAAUUUUUGUAUUUUUAGUAGAGAUGGGAUUUCCCCAUGCUGGCCAGGAUGGUCUCAAACUCCUGACCUCAGGUAAUUCACCUACCUUAGCCUCCCAAAGUCUGGAAUUACAGGCAUGAGGCACCACUCUCAGCCGAGACAGGGUUUCACCAUGUUGGCCAGGCUGGUCUCAAACUCCUGACUUCGUGAUCCACCCACCUCAGGCUUCCAAAGUGCUGGACUACAGGCGUGAGGCACCACGCCUUGCCAAAUCUAAAUUUCUUCUCAAAUCCAUGGGGGAAUCUGUUGUGCAGACAGGGUUAGGAAUGAUUUGUCUAGUGAGCAGUGGGGAAGGUAUCUUAGGCAGCAGAAACUGCACGUGCAAAGAAACAGAGGUUAUCUGAGGGCACACGGGGACGGCGACAGUCAAAUAACGGCAGAAACCAGGUUAUCCAGGGAAAAGGGGAUGCAACCAGAGUGGAGGAAAAUCAAAAUGCCAUUGUGUUCGAAUCGUUGAAAAUAACUCCCCCUGGAAACAAUAAUCCAUUUCAGCCUUCCUCAUCCAGCGCUGAUUUGCCCCAGUGGCCGGCAGAUCUGGUGCUGGUUACCAGGUUUUGGUGCAUUAGGUAAUGCGACAAUAAAAUCUGCAUCACUGCAGCACAAAGUCCUCUUUAUUUUAACAAGUGUAGUUUUUACUCUGAAGUGUUAUCACAAAUAAUUAAAUUAAACCAGUAAAUGGCUUGUAGUAUGCCUUGCUGAAGUAACAGUCUCUGUAACCCCAGACACUGAGCUACUCCUUUGGGGGAUUCUUGGCUCUGAAACAUUUGGGAAUUUUUCAGAAGGAGAGAGGUAGGGCAACAGCUUGUUCCAGCCCAACCUGCUGCUCCCCAUUCCAUCAUUUGACCUGUGGCAGUUUGAAUCUGUAAAGGGAUCACUCCUCAGCCCUAGGCUGGUCUGGGAUGAAGAGGGGUCGAGAGUCCCAGUGCACAUAUUGGGCAGCCUUUUUUUUUUUUUUUUAAGAUGGAUUUUCGAUCUUGUCGCCCAGGCUGGACUGCAAUGGCAUGAUCUCGGUUCACCACAACCUCUGCCUCCCAGGUUCAAAUGAUUCUCCUGCCUCAGCCUCCCAGGUAGCUGGGACUACAGGCAUGCACCGCCAUGCUCGGCUAAUUUUGUAUUUUUAGUAGAGAUGGAGUUUUGCUGUGUUGGUCAGGCUGGUAUUGGGCAGCUUCUUUUUUUUCAUAAUGCCUGCUCAGGCAUCAGGGCGUUGAUAAGUAAGUACUUUGAGUCUUGGGGUAGAAGGGCUUGCAGGGACUCUCAAGGCCAUCAGACAACCCACCCCACCCACGACUUUCACCGUUUCAUAGACACGAAAACCAGGGAAGGGAAGUGACGUGACCCACUGCUUGUUGGCUGAUGGACAGUAUGAGCAGUGUGCCAAGUGUGAGUGCCGAAGCCUCAGAGACCCAGAGGGAGAAUGCGCUGGAGACACAGGGGCUGCAGGCAGAGAAGGGGAUGAGGUGGGAGGGUGGGAGGAAGGAGGAAACUGUUAGAGGCAGCAGCAAGGUCUGCCCGAGGGCUGGGAGCAUGGAACCAAGUCUUCAGGUGGAGACCCUGAGGCGUCAUCACCAGAGCCCUCAAGUACUCAGACGUCAACCCGUCAACCCGCUGCAUCUGGACUCUUCUCAAAUGAAGCAAGAGAAAAGCAGGAUCUCUGUAGUGAAGAAGGAAAAAUGGUGCUGGCGAGAAUACCCGGAGGAGGAACCUGCUGGCUUUAAAGCAGGGAGGAGCCUUCGUCCCUCCUGGGGCAAUAUCGAAUAUGAGGAUUGUAAGAUGGACUGUGCUGGAAUGCCUAGACUGUGGAGUUGUGGAGGAGGAGUCAGCCCUCACCCAUUCUGCGACCUUGCAACAGGAUUCUCAACCACUCUGGGCCGCCUUUUCCUGAUACCGCAGCCCUGCUAGCAACGCUUUGAGCUAGGUCCUGUGAAGACCACCAUGCUGCCCUGGAGGAAGCCAGAUAACAGGAGACAUGCGCUACAGCCACCGGCUGUCUCCACCAUCAGAUGUGGCUUACCUAGUUCCUGAGUCACUUCCGUCCAGGUAGGUGGAAUCCUAUCAGAGUAUGCGAGCGCGUUUGCAGGGUACAUUCCUGUGGAGCCCCCUUAGCUGUGGCUGUGUCUGUUCUGCAGAGAGAAAGUAUUUCUGCUGUGAGAGGUCUGGAUCUGGAGUACGGAGGGUAAGCCCUGGGCCCCCAUUUAUCCCGUCCUCACUCACCUGCCUCCUGUAUCAUCCUAGUCCAUAGCAAAGCUUUUCACUAAGCUCCUACAGGAUUGGACUCUUCACAUACAUUAUCUCAUUUAAUCAUCACAACAACCCCAAAGGCAGGUGGUAAAAACUCCAUUCUAUAGGAGAGGAAACUGAGGCUUGAAGGGAUUACAUCACUUGCUAAGGACUUACAAGGAUUUGAACAGGGGCUUAUCUGUGGUCGCAGCCUUUGUGAUUUUUCCUUCUUGCACGGCCUGGGCUUCUGCUGUGUUCUUUCACCUGGGAAGCCCUCCUGAUUUCUGGGGACCUGGCAAUCUCAGGGGCUAAUCAUCAUGGUUAGAAUAGGUACAAUUUUGUGAGCAUCUGUAUAUACUAGAAGGUUCACAGAUGGCCUGAUUUAACCUUCAUCCCUGUGAAGUAGGUGCUGUGAUUCUCUCCACUUUGCAGAUAAGGAAACUGAGAGAGGUUAAGUGUUACCACCAGUGCUGUCCAACUGCUAAAGUGGGGAGGAGGAUUCAAACCAGGCUUGCCUGAGACUGAAGCCCAUGUGCUUUACUACUCCUAAGGGUGUCUGACAAGGGCUGGACUCUGAUACUCAUCUCCUCUUCUCUGGGAACCUGCUUCUAGCUGGGGUCCGGCUGCCCAGAACCAGGCUGGAGAGCAAUGGCACUAUCUCGGCUCACCGCAACCUCCACGUCCCGGUUUCAAGCGAUUCUCCUGCCUCAGCCUCCUGAGUAGCUGGGAUGACAGGUACGCACCUGGCUAAUUUUGUAUUUUUAGUAGAUACAGGGUUUCUCCAUGUUGAGCAAGCUGGUCUCAAACUCCCGACCUCAGGUGAUCCGCCCGCCUCAGCCUCCCAAAGUACUGGGAUUACAGGAGUGAACCACUGCACCUGGCCACUCACUCUUCAUGGCUGGUUUUUGCUGUUUUCCUUGAUUCCUAUUAUGGCAGCAGAUGCCCCUCCACACUGCCCACCUCACCAAAGGCCUUGUAUGUUUGGUUUUGUUUCGUUUUUUGAGAUGGAGUCUCCCUCUGUCACCUAGGCUGGAGAGCAGUGGCACAAUCUCAGCUUAUUGCAACCUCCGCCUUCUGGAUUCAAGUGAUUCUCCUGUCUCAGCCUCCCGAGUAGCUGGGUUACAGGUGCACGCCACCACACCUGGCCAAUUUUUGUAUUUUUAGUAGAGACGGGGUUUUACCAUAUUGGACAGACUGGUCUCGAACUCCUGAUCUCAGGUGAUCCGCCCACAUCGAUCUCCCAAAGUGCUGGGAUUACAGGUGUGAGCCACCAUGCCCGGCCGGCCAGCCUUGUAAGUUUUAAAGCCUACUUGGAGGUCUCUAAGUCCGGGCUUCCCAAUGUUCUUUGCACAUGAAGGAAUGGAUACUGUCUGUGUGACACACUGCAGGAACUGCUGGAGCUUGAGAAGGGCCAGCCAGGGGGUCCAGACACCCCAGGCCAAGCCCCAAGGGCUAAAGGGAUGGGUCAGGUCUCUGCUCACCUGGAACCAAUUCUGUUGAGAAGCGCUCCUCUAAGCCUUGGCAAUAAAAACAGUAAUUGCUUCUUUUUAUUGAGUGAUUAAAUUGCGCUGGGUGGUGUGUGAGGCUUUCUGUAUACACUGUCUCUGUAGUGAGGUAAGUCAUCAUCAUCCCCAUUUUAUAGAUGAGGACAGAGGCUCAGAGAUCCAGCAACUGUCCGAGGGCUUUACGUCUCUGAACUCCUAAGGUGCUUCAGAAGCAAUGUCAGUGUCAAGUGAUUUAACCUGCAACAUUCUUUGCUUCCUCUGUAUGUUCUUUUUUUUUUUGGAGAUGGAGUCUAGCUGUGUCACCCAGGCUGGAGUGCAGUGCCACGAUCUCGGCUCACUGCAACCUCUGCCUUCCGAGUUCAAGCCAUUCUUCUGCCUCAGCCUCCUUGGUAGCUGGGAUUACAGGUGCCCACCACCACGCUCGGCUAAUUUUUGUAUUUUUAGUAGAUACAGUGUAUUGCCAUGUUAGCUAGGCUGGUCUUAAACUCCUGACCUCAGGUGAUCCGCCUGCCUCCUACAGUGCUGGGAUUACAGGCGUGAGCCACCACGCCCGGCCUCCUCUAUAUUUUCUCAUCUUGCAACAAAACAGCGAGCCCUCCGUGAGCAGAACUGUGUCUAAUGCGUGUCUUCAUCCUCGUGCUGCCUCAUAUGCUUGGUUCCAUGGUUGUUCUCCAGGUCCUUCUGAGAAGCCCAAGGCGCCUUAGGCUUAGUUCUCACCACUUCUGCCCCAGAGGAGUAAACCUAAAUGUCUUCCAUAAAGGAGGCCAGACCUUUGAUGUAGGGAGGGUGUUUGGAAGAGGGGCUGAGCUGCCUGCAGACUUCCUGGUGAUUGUGGCCUUAUGGGAAUAAGGAUAUUUCCAUGUAAAAGGCUCCAAGAGUUGCUGUGUCUUGGCUCCUCCUCAGCAAGGGAUCUGCACAUGCACGUUCCAUGGUCAUAGCCCCGGGGGAUCUUUUCCACUUUGGGUAUUGAGAAAUCUCACGUAUCUCUAUAAAGAUGAUCCUGUCUUUAUGCCCAGCUCCUUGUGGCAAUUCUUGAGAGUGGGAGAAGGUCAGGGAAUUGAGAAGCAGGUGCUCUACCACACUCCUGCCUCUGUUCUGUCGUGUGUAAUAUGGAGUGUUAGCAUCAUGUGACUCUUGAAAUUGCUGAGCUGGUCCAAUCUCUCCAUUUAUCGAUGGUGAAGCCGAGGCCUGAAGACCUUCCCUGCAGGGUAGCAGAAGAAGAGGCAGAAGCGGGACCAGAAGUCAGCUCCUCUGACUCCCCAGCCAGUGCUCUUCCCACAGAAUGCAUUGCUUCAGCAUCCACUCAGCUAUCGCUCCGUUCAGGGGUUGUAGGGGUCACUGACUUUUUUGGUUGCUUCUUGGUUGGAGGAUGUUGUGCCUCGCUGAUGAGGGGUGGGUAUUGGCAGGUAAGGCCACUGAACAGGGCAAAAAUUCAGUUGUCCCCACGUGGCCUUACAGGUCCCUGCAACACUGGGCAAGUUGGGGGGUGGGCUGUUUGUGCUGGCCAGUGGCACACUCCCUGCGUUCCCAUUGUCUGGAAGCGUGGCAGGAGGGCAGGCACCUCUGCUUUGAAGACUGCAGUUGCUAUGGACCCAUCAGAGGCGCAGACUUUCUAGCGAGUAGAUCUCUGGGUCUGGCUCGGCUUCAGCCCGGCUGGACCAGUAGGGUUAACUGCAAACUGCUCUCCUCCCAUUCUUUGCAAUUUCUUCCAGAGGGAAGGAAUGAGCACUCUGCCAUCUACAUAUUUUCAGCUGAGUUAUAUUUUGCAUAAAGUAAACUUAGCAAACAGAGAACACAGUGAGAAUAUAUUUGGCUUUGAAGCGUCAGUGCUCUGACAGGCAUUUCCUAUUAGCUAUCUCAGAGCCGACCAGCCUGGCUGGGUUUUGCUUAAGUGGCAUAAUUCUCCUGCAGUGGAGACAGCUCAUUCAUUAGUCAUUCCAAAAGCCGGAUACAAAAUAUCCUUCUCUAAGCCAACUCCACCAACCAGCUCCCCAGCCCGGGUGGAACAAUGAAACUAUGAGGCUUACCAGCCCGGCACAGGUCAGCCCAAGAGCCACCUGUCUGCCAGGCUUCAGAUGAUGGCUUUGGCUGCAGCCUUCCAUUUCCCUUAGGAACAGGAAGGAUGUGUCUUCCUUCUGUUGGCAGAGGCCCUAGGAUCCUUUUCGAGGGUGGGCUCCUUCCCAUUCCACUGCAGAAUCACUUGCAAUAGCGCGAGACCCUGAUUUCACACACUGUGUUGUUUGUGUUUUUUAGCGGGAGGCCAAAGGUACCAGUGCUUAGAAGCGGCAUAGGAAUGUGUCCCUUCCUGUUCAGGUCUCUCAGCUGAGCUCAGCCCUUCCUUGACUGACAUUCUGCACGUUAUCUCUUUUAAUCUCUGCCCAGUGAGGGCUGAUGUUCCCAUUUUACAGAUGAGGAUACUGGAGCUCAGAGAAGUGAAAUGAUUUGCUGAAGGUCACACAGCCAGGCUGCAAGCCUGUAGGGCUCCAAAAUGCAUCUACUGUUCUCUGUCAGGAAGCCUCUUUUGGAUGAUUAACUGAGAUUAAAAAUGAACGUCUACAUGAAAGAAGGGUCCUUUUUCAACUUUACAAGAACGAACCCAACCAGGGUGGGCUGAAACGCCAGCCAGGGAGGGGGCAGGGGAAAGAAAGACAUUCUAACAGGAAGGUUAAAGCACCCUGGGCUGCAAAUUGGGGUGGAGCGGUGAAGCGUGUGGUUUUCAUGGGGCAGAGCUGGGUUUGGGGUGGGCCAGGAGCUGGGAUCAGAAGAGGGACAGGGAAGGGUUUAUUGUGGCUCCACUGCCCCGCUCCACUGAAUGACCAUCUGACAGAGCCUGACCAAGCAGAAUGCCAGGGUGUAAAGACCCCACUAAUGCCCAGUCAAUGAGAGGAACACCAGAGGAGUGCCAAGAAGGUACUUGCACAGAGGCAAAGGGCAGGAGUUUGUGGCUGCAGCCGCAGUCAGCCUCAGCCUCCCUAGAGGGCCUCUUAGUGUUCCAGGUAGACCAGCACAUUCACAGAUGCCCAGGCAAAUGAGGACCCGGCAAGAGAAGCAGGCUACAUCAGAGGUAGAAUAUGCAUUUACAUCAGCUAGGAAUCCUUCCAAAGCAGAUGUCUGCUUAAACCUCUUGAGUGGUGCCCUCCUUAGCCUGGAAGGAUGGCCUUGCUCUGGAAAUCUCAGCCCGCCACUGUGCUGUGAUUUACCACCUUCCCCUCAUCCACCACACUCUGUCUCAAACUCUCUGUGGUUCUCAAACACGCAGAGCACUUUCACUCUACCGGCUCUUCCACAUGUGACUUUCUUUACAUGUGCUUCAUCUUUCCCGUCUGCAGCCCCACUUGGCAGACUCCUACUCACCCUUCAAAACCCUGCUUAAAUGUCAAUGAGUCUGGAAGCCUUCUUCAUCUUGUCAGUACACAUUUGUCUGUAUUCCUGAUCCUUUGUCUAUAGCUCUGGCAAAUCAUGGAUCCUAGUGCACCGUCCAGAAUCUUGCCCCAUUUUAGUUCUAGAUUCCCAGAGCCCAGUCAAGAUCUUAGCACGUAGAAAGCCCUAGAUCAGUUGAUAAAGCAAGCACGGCCUGAAUGGCUGCGCAUCUGAGAGCAUGUGCCGCAGAAUCAUUGUACCUCAGACCUGGAGGAAAAUGUAGAGUUGAUCUAAGUGAACCUGAUGUUUGAACGCCUCACAUGCCCUCCCGGCCUGAAGUAAUAUACAUAAACCACCUCAUCUAGUAACUGGCAUGUAUCAGUCAACGGCUGAUACGAUUGUUUUUGUUGUCAUUUCUUAUGGAAUCAAACUAGACAUAGGAGAAUUUGCAGAAAGAAUAGCAGAUCUGCAGUUGGGGCUGUGGCUCUGCCUCUGAGACACUCCCUUUAUGACUCUGAACAAGUCAUUUCAGCCUGUUGAGGGCUCAGUUUCCUCAUCGAUAGUUUGGGAUACAACUAGGGUGUCCUGUAAUGGGUACCUUUCAUCUGUACUCAAAACAAAAACAUGGCCUAAGCAAACACCACCCCUGACAGGUCUGAGGGAGUCAGCUCAGGCCUUCCUGGUGUCGUCUCUCAUCAGAAAUCAGGGGACCAGCUCUGGCCUUAAUGGCCCUUCUGGGGGUGUGCCCUUCCCUGGGCAGAGUCAAUCCCUAGGGAAGCAGAAACUCCUACUUGCCAAACUCCUGGCCAGUCAUACCCACUUUGCCAUCCUGGAGAAGGAGGGAGAUUGCCUGUUGCGGAGCUUGUGGCAAAAUCCCUCUUCCUCCCCCAAACACAGCUAUGAUUAGCUGUGUCCUCACCAUGAAACUGCAGGGGUGUGUACGGGUGACUCAUAGUUGUUCAAAUCGCUUUUAGAGAGAGCUCGAAUGGCAGGGGGGCUUGGUGGCUGUCAGAGGCACCCCGGUUCCCUUUCUCUACCCCCAACAAUUGCUAAGAUUUCAGGACCCAGGUUUAGAGUUUCAGAAUCUUCACUGAUGCCACCAGCUGCUUCUGUCAGGACCCGGCCACCCAGAGUGGCUCCCCUGGAUGAGGAGGGGGGCUUGGUCUUCAUCCCAUUGCCCAUGCCAGCCCCUCGGGAGAGCUGUCCCAGGGUCAGAUCCAGGCCUGAAUUCUCACUGUCUCUUGCCACCCUCUCCCUGGGGCCUACCAUGCCCACGGCUGCUCUGAAGGAAUCAGUCAGUCUCUCCAGGUGUGAACGUCACCACCUCCGGGGCCCUAGCUCCCGCCACUCCAUGCCCGGGGCUGUGUAGCUGUUGGCACAGUUGUCCCAGCCUCUCUGAGCUGUGCACCAUGGUCUCAAAUGCUCCCUCCCACUCCCUUUCCACUCAGUCAUGGGGAUCCUAAGAGCUCCCAACAGGAGCUGAGAAAGAAGCAGAGGCCUCCUUGGUGGAGGAAUCCUGGCAGGCCGGCAAGUCCCAACAGGUUGAUGUUGGGCUGCUGCAGGCAGGCAGUGAGUCACCUGGAUCCCCGCUGCUUACAGGACAGAGCCAGAAUAAUGACAAUAAUAAUAGAGAUCCAGGGUGCUGUUAUUAACUCCCACCUUUCCCCCCAGGACCAUGUCUCCUUUAUCCAUCUGACAGCCCUCGGGGCAGGGAGCAGCCGAGGGCCCAAGAGAUUUUGUUGCUCUGUCUUAAAUAGGGGGGAAACUGAGGCUAAAGUUAUUUCCUGUUGAGCUGCUGGUCCUGAGAAAAGGACUCUGCCUCCGAAUGUCCCUGAUGCCAGGAAAGCUCUACAGCCCCACAGUUAGUGGUCCCCUCACUGGCAAAGGUCUAGGCUCAGGGAGGAAAGAACCCACAUUUCUGGAUUUCUCACACCCUGUCCUCUAACCCUUACUUAGGACAACAGCCCUAGGGAAUAGUUAUGAUUAUUAUCCUCAUUUUAUGGAUGGGGAGCUUGAAGUUCAGAGAGGCUAGGUAAAUUCCCAAGGUCAUGCAGCAAAGGUGCAGCAGACCCAGGAUUUGAAGCCAGGGUGAUUUGACUGUGCUCUCUCAGGGUCUCGUAAUCCGGGAUCUGCAGUUUCCACCUCUGGCUUCCUAGGCCUUCUGGGCCUGGUCUUCCUCCAUUGCCUCCCCACCCUGGGCUCACUCCAUCUCAAGAUUAGGGUUCCUCCUAGGGACCCCUGGAGGCCAGCUUUCAUUUUCAUCUUGAGCAGCCGUGGAAAAGUAAGGACUCAACCACUUUAAUUUUGGGGUCUUAGUAAUUAUCUGGCACUCACCACCCACUCACCUCUACCACUAGUUAUUAUAAUAAUAACAAUAAUAAUUUAGAGAAGUGAUGGCAAAGAUCACAGCAUUCACGGAAUCCAGACUGGGCAGAGAUAGAUAUAGCCUCACACAUCCUUUUUAUAUCAGGAUGGUGCUAGAUUUGGGAGUAAGGACUGUCUAGUCAGUUCUGGCAAGGAUGCCAGAUAUCAUAUGGCUGAGUGAGCCCCUAAAUGCCUCUGUGCCUUCAUUUCCCCCUCUGCAAAAUGUGGGUAAAACUCCUGCAAGAUUAUGUGCUUCCAGCUUCUCAAAAUACAGUCAUCAUAAGACAACUUUUUCUUUUUCACCACCCCAUAGCCACGAUUUACAAUGCCCCAGGAGUCUAGGGCCUGAAUGAUACAUUACUUUUAUUCUCCAGGCU